rnacentral:rRNA from 2 species
CCUUAUUGGAGAGUUUGAUCCUGGCUCAGGACGAACGCUGGCGGCGUGCUUAACACAUGCAAGUCGAGCGGUAAGGCCCUUCGGGGUACACGAGCGGCGAACGGGUGAGUAACACGUGGGUAACCUGCCCUGUACUCUGGGAUAAGCCUUGGAAACGAGGUCUAAUACCGGAUAUGACACUGGAUCGCAUGGUCUGGUGUGGAAAGUUCCGGCGGUAUGGGAUGGACCCGCGGCCUAUCAGCUUGUUGGUGGGGUAAUGGCCUACCAAGGCGACGACGGGUAGCCGGCCUGAGAGGGUGACCGGCCACACUGGGACUGAGACACGGCCCAGACUCCUACGGGAGGCAGCAGUGGGGAAUAUUGCACAAUGGGCGAAAGCCUGAUGCAGCGACGCCGCGUGAGGGAUGACGGCCUUCGGGUUGUAAACCUCUUUCAGCAGGGACGAAGCGCAAGUGACGGUACCUGCAGAAGAAGCACCGGCUAACUACGUGCCAGCAGCCGCGGUAAUACGUAG